GAGUGCCGAAUGCUGGGAAACUAGCACGUUUGGUAUGGAGCAGGGGGUGCGACAAGAAGCAACUUCUUCCGCAC
rnacentral:misc_RNA from 1 species